AAUAAACCAACCGUUAAAUUCAGCCGUUAAAGGUGAAAACGAACCGACGUCUCCAUGAGCAAAAUUAGUUGAAGGAUAAAUGCAACAGAAGACUCAUUUUCAUUCAGGAGUGUGUCCAUUUACUGCAUCAAAGUUUGGCUCUUUGACCUGAAGCUGUCUACAGGAAAAACUCUGGAGUGAUGAAAAAAACAAUUACGACCUGAGUAGAGCAUGAGAAAAACUAAAAGCCCUAGCCCUGACGACUGGCAGUGCAUUGAAAAAGACCUCCAAAAGUAAGGGAAUGCAAAUCAGACAACCAUCAAGAAACCAGAAGACUCCUCUCAUUGUCUACUCCUGAGAUAUUUUUCUCCAAACUCUUUGCUUCAACUGACUAUGUGUCACAGGGGGAAGUCAGCACACAAACAAAGAUGAACCCAUAUGUCACAUCACACUUCAGGAGGGAUCUUUUCCCCCAUUUCCAUUUGUUGUAGACAUCUGCCCUUGUGUCAACAGCUGGAUAAAAAGGCUUUAACUGUAUACGAUCAGUUAUAGCAGUAGUUUUUGUGUUUUGUUUUUGUACCUGCCAUGCUGCAGGGUCAUAGCUGAGGUUUUGAUGAUCUCUGCUGCUGUGAUUUGACUGCAUCUGCAGACUCUUGUGAAUUUGUCAGGAUUCAUUUGUAGAGGUCUCUGGAAAUGGUUGCGCAAGGUAAAUACUUCCAGCACUAGCACCUGUUUUCAUUGUCAGAUGCAUUUACAAUUCUCUUUUUAAAAACUGUUUUUAUUUAACUAGGAAUUUCGCAUGCAGAGGCAUGCUUUUUUAUUGUGAUUCCUGGUGCACUUAGAUUUUGUAAUGCAUUUGGGAUGAGAUAAUCUUUGAUUCUUUUUGAAAAUUUCUAGUGAUCCAGUAGCCUGCUAUGGUCUGGCUCAAACAGAGAACCUGAGUAAAAACUACAGUCUCCAAGUAUUCAUACCAUACAUCUCAGCUCCACCUUUUUUGGUGUACACCUGAUCGACCAACUUUGGCACCAGGCUUGUGGAAAAAUGUAGACAGCAUACUCAGGUGACCUGUGUACUUACCUUUUCCUUUCUGUACAAAUCUUACACUUUCAUUGAUUAAUGUUAAAGAUGGAUCAAAGUAAUCCCUCUAUCUUGUUUUCUUCCCCUCUUUUUUUGUCAGGCGGUGGGGAUUUCUCAGCUGUAAUUAUGAUCUGUAAUGAGGUAUGUCCGCUUUGAAAGUAUAACUGUUGCAAGGGGUUGCAAAAAGCUGUGUUGUUAAGGUCAGUGUUUUCCAUGCAACAGUCAGUACACAAAACAAGUGUUAACCACAUCAACAAUGGCCAUCAAGCACAUACACAGACUCUUAAAAAGAAAAAAUGAAGUAGUCAGAGCAGUGACAUGAGUAAGCUGAAAAUGGCAAAUCAAAAGAGUUUUUUUCAAUUAGGACCCCCUUGGGCAAAAGUGAAG